UACGUAGGGGGCAAGCGUUGUCCGGAUUUAUUGGGCGUAAAGAGCGUGUAGGCGGCCAUACAGGUCCGUUGUGAAAACUGGAGGCUUAACCUCCAGACGUCGAUGGAAACCGUAUGGCUAGAGUCCGGAAGAGGAGAGUGGAAUUCCUGGUGUAGCGGGUGAAAUGCGCAGAUAAUCAGGAAGAACACCAUGGCGAAGGCAGCUCUCGUGGGACGGUACUGACGCUGAGACGCGAAAGCGUGGGGAGCAAACAGG
rnacentral:rRNA from 1 species